AACGAACGCUGGCGGCAUGCCUAACACAUGCAAGUCGAACGAGACCUUCGGGUCUAGUGGCGCACGGGUGCGUAACGCGUGGGAACCUGCCCUUAGGUUCGGAAUAACUCCCCGAAAUGGGUGCUAAUACCGGAUAAUGUCUUCGGACCAAAGAUUUAUCGCCUUUGGAUGGUCCCGCGUUGGAUUAGCUAGUUGGUAGGGUAAAAGCCUACCAAGGCGACGAUCCAUAGCUGGUCUGAGAGGAUGAUCAGCCACACUGGGACUGAGACACGGCCCAGACUCCUACGGGAGGCAGCAGUGGGGAAUAUUGGACAAUGGGCGAAAGACUGAUCCAGCAAUGCCGCGGGAGUGAUGAAGGCCUUAGGGUUGUAAAGCUCUUUUACCCGGGAUGAUAAUGACAGUACCGGGAGAAUAAGCUCCGGCUAACUCCGUG
rnacentral:rRNA from 1 species